UGCAGUCGANNGAUGAAGCCCUUCGGGGUGGAUUAGUGGCGAACGGGUGAGUAACACGUGGGCAAUCUGCCCUUCACUCUGGGACAAGCCCUGGAAACGGGGUCUAAUACCGGAUAACACCUGCCCGGGCAUCUGGGUGGGUUAAAAGCUCCGGCGGUGAAGGAUGAGCCCGCGGCCUAUCAGCUUGUUGGUGAGGUAGUGGCUCACCAAGGCGACGACGGGUAGCCGGCCUGAGAGGGCGACCGGCCACACUGGGACUGAGACACGGCCCAGACUCAUACGGGAGGCAGCAGUGGGGAAUAUUGCACAAUGGGCGAAAGCCUGAUGCAGCGACGCCGCGUGAGGGAUGACGGCCUUCGGGUUGUAAACCUCUUUCAGCAGGGAAGAAGCGAAAGUGACGGUACCUGCAGAAGAAGCGCCGGCUAACUACGUGCCAGCAGCCGCGGUAAUACGUAGGGCGCAAGCGUUGUCCGGAAUUAUUGGGCGUAAAGAGCUCGUAGGCGGCUUGUCACGUCGGGUGUGAAAGCCCGGGGCUUAACCCCGGGUCUGCAUUCGAUACGGGCUAGCUAGAGUGUGGUAGGGGAGAUCGGAAUUCCUGGUGUAGCGGUGAAAUGCGCAGAUAUCAGGAGGAACACCGGUGGCGAAGGCGGAUCUCUGGGCCAUUACUGACGCUGAGGAGCGAAAGCGUGGGGAGCGAACAGGAUUAGAUACCCUGGUAGUCCACGCCGUAANCGGUGGGAACUAGGUGUUGGCGACAUUCCACGUCGUCGGUGCCGCAGCUAACGCAUUAAGUUCCCCGCCUGGGGAGUACGGCCGCAAGGCUAAANCUCAANGGAAUUGACGGGGGCCCGCACAAGCAGCGGAGCAUGUGGCUUAAUUCGACGCAACGCGAAGAACCUUACCAAGGCUUGACAUACACCGGAAACGGCCAGAGAUGGUCGCCCCCUUNNGGUCGGUGUNCAGGUGGGNCAUGGCUGUCGUCAGCUCGUGUC
rnacentral:rRNA from 1 species